AUGAGCAUCUAUUUGAGUCGAUCAUUUCCAAGAUGUAAUUCAAGUUUAUUCUUAUGUAGUGGAAAGGCCUUACAAUCUGAAGUUUUACGCUUAGGGGAAGAAAUGUUCUUGGUGGAUGCAGGACCUGGGACCCCCAGAAAUUGUAUGCAAGAUGAGCCUACAGGAGUGCCAAUCAACCGAGCCACCAGGUUUGAUAAUAAGUGGCCGGCGAAUCACUGA
rnacentral:lncRNA from 1 species